rnacentral:lncRNA from 1 species
UGAACGCGCUCAACUACAGGCCAUCGAAGAAGGACGCCAACCUGUGCGGCACCGGUAGCGGGCACUACUUACCUGCCUCUGUGAACUCCUCUUUGUUCCUCUGGCCGCCUUCGCCUCCGUCUGGGUUCCCCUGGCCGUCGCCUAUGCCUUACCCGUUUCCACCCCUGCCAUUCCAAACUCCGCCACCGCCAUCUCUCCCUUGGCCGUUCCCUCCUCUGUUUCCGACCCCACGAACACCAACUUUUCCUUUGCCCUUCCCCCCAGCACCGAACCGACCGCCAUCGCUGCCUCCAAUACCACCUAUUUUUCCUUCACCAACGCCGACGUCUCCAUUCCCUUUUCGAUUCCCACCCUUCCCUCCCUUUACUCCAAUGCCACCUCUGUUUAUGCCACCUUCUCUUCCUCCACCUGGAUCUUUUCCUUUCCCAUUUCCUCCAUUCCCUCCUACUACCACAACCUCUGGAGCGCCUUCCUCAU